GCAAGUCGAGCGGAUGAGAGGAGCUUGCUCUUCGAUUCAGCGGCGGACGGGUGAGUAAUGCCUAGGAAUCUGCCUAGUAGUGGGGGACAACGUUUCGAAAGGAACGCUAAUACCGCAUACGUCCUACGGGAGAAAGUGGGGGAUCUUCGGACCUCACGCUAUUAGAUGAGCCUAGGUCGGAUUAGCUAGUUGGUAGGGUAAAGGCCUACCAAGGCGACGAUCCGUAACUGGUCUGAGAGGAUGAUCAGUCACACUGGAACUGAGACACGGUCCAGACUCCUACGGGAGGCAGCAGUGGGGAAUAUUGGACAAUGGGCGAAAGCCUGAUCCAGCCAUGCCGCGUGUGUGAAGAAGGCCUUCGGGUCGUAAAGCACUUUAAGUUGGGAGGAAGGGCUCAUAGCGAAUACCUGUGAGUUUUGACGUUACCAACAGAAUAAGCACCGGCUAACUUCGUGCCAGCAGCCGCGGUAAUACGAAGGGUGCAAGCGUUAAUCGGAAUUACUGGGCGUAAAGCGCGCGUAGGUGGCUUGAUAAGUUGGAUGUGAAAUCCCCGGGCUCAACCUGGGAACUGCAUCCAAAACUGUCUGGCUAGAGUGCGGUAGAGGGUAGUGGAAUUUCCAGUGUAGCGGUGAAAUGCGUAGAUAUUGGAAGGAACACCAGUGGCGAAGGCGACUACCUGGACUGACACUGACACUGAGGU
rnacentral:rRNA from 1 species